rnacentral:lncRNA from 1 species
UUAUUAUUUUUCGAUAUCAUUUGCCUAGUGAUCGAAUGGGCUCAAAAUCAACAAAUUUCAAUGGUCGUAGUGCGUCGUUUGCAUGUUUAACGGUAUAGAAAUAUCCAAAUCACAUGAAAUUUUGAUAGAAAAUUCUUUAUACUAUAUAAAACAAGAUCAAUAUCUUUGAUUUAAAAUUUUAAUGUCAUAUUAUCACAUUUUGUAAGAUUUUUAUUUUCAGCCGUUGAUUUUAAGCCCCUUCGUUCACUAGACAAAUGAUAUCGCAAAAUCAUAAAAUUUAUUUUCUAGGUACUUCAAAUACUCUAGAUCAAGUUUAACGGAGCCGAUUGACAAUUCGAAAGUCGCAACAUCAAAAAUGAGCUGAAAGCAUAGAAAGCUCUGUGCUUCCGAUAGCAUAGUAGCCUCACUCUAUAUAUAUAUAUAUAUCGGAUGCUAAAUUUUUAUUAUCGUAACUGCUUAAAACGGAUUCGAAUUCAGAUAAUAAUAUAUACUAAUACGAGUAGAGUUAUUAUGCUUUCGGAAGUAUAAUAAAGUUCGUGCUUUCAACUUUUUGUUCAUUGGAUCAAUUCUUUUGAUCAUUUCUGAUAUUUGGAUUAAUAUUAUUAUCCAGAGGGACCGCUCAAUACUAGGAGGACCACUCAAUCUUAAGGGGGGACCGCUAAAAUCUCAACCCUAUAAUUCUUAAUCCAAAGAUCAAAAAGUCGGAAGUAUCAACUUUAUGCUUUCGAUAGCAUAGUAACUCUACACUACUAAUAUAUAUAGUCCGACUACUAUACUAUCGAUAAUAUCA